UUCCUACGGGAGGCAGCAGUAGGGAAUCUUCCACAAUGGACGAAAGUCUGAUGGAGCAACGCCGCGUGAGUGAAGAAGGGUUUCGGGUUGUAAAAUUCUGUUAUAAGGGAAGAAAGGUGAUAGGAGGAAAUGACUAUCAAUUGACGGUACCUUAUGAGAAAGCCACGGCUAACUACGUGCCAGCAGCCGCGGUAAUACGUAGGUGGCAAGCGUUAUCCGGAAUUAUUGGGCGUAAAGAGCGCGCAGGUGGUUAAUUAAGUCUGAUGUGAAAGCCCACGGCUUAACCGUGGAGGGUCAUUGGAAAC
rnacentral:rRNA from 1 species